GAAAUAUGGCUCAGUAGGUAAAGGCACUUGUGGUCAAGCCUGACUACCUGAGUUUGACACCCAGGUCUCACAUGGUAGAGAGAGAGACUGACUCCUGUAAGGUGUCCUCUGAUCUUCACACAGGUGGUGUGACAUCUCUGGUCAACAGAAAUCCCACCCAGGUGGAAUGUGGCAGAAGGCCACAGUCUGGCAGCUGGAAAGCUAAAAGUCACAGGUACUUCAGAGGCUGAGAAGGAAGCAUCACUGGAUCCAAGGAUUCCAGUUUGAGGCCAGCCUGGACUACAAGAGGUCUUGUCUCACAACAACAACAGCAGCAGCAGCAGCAACAGCAGCAGCAGCAACAGCAACAACAACAACAACAACAACACAAAUUAAAGAGAACUUGGGUCAGGUGCUUCCGAGCUGGGGUGGAACUGAUGGGGUCCUAGGAUUGGACAGACGGAGGCUGGACAGAUGGAGGCUGGAGAGACGGAGGCUGGGGAUUCCUGAGGCCUCCUAACAGCAAAUGUCUUUUGUGCAGUCCAGAGGAUGAAAGAAGGCUGAAUUCCUAGCCUUGCAGGAAGGGGUGGAUGGAAUCAUAGAGAAAAGCAGGAAGGUGAGCUCUGGGAACCAGAGACUCCUGAGAACGUGAGACUCACUGGCAGCUAGGACUGAAGUGCUGAAUGAACCCAGAGGAAGGUGGAUGCUGCGGUUAUAGGACACAGUGGUUAUUACAGGCAUUUGACAUCGGUCAGCCCAUCUAAUCUCGGAGAGGCAGAUAUUGCUAAUCCUAGAUCCGCAGCAGAGAAAAUCAGCUCACAGAGCCCCUAGGACUGUGGAGUCUCCUGAGAACAGCUGAUUUGUAAACUGAAGCCACCAGGAAGGAGAUCAGAAGUUACUGAAGUUACGCUUGAGUCCGGGGAGUAAGAACUGAAAUGCACGUUCAAUUACAAGUUGGAGCCACUCUGGUCAGAGUUCCGAUGCCCACCAGGAAUGGGUGGUGAUGCUGGUAGAUUCUGCUUGUGUUAGUGAGGCUCCUGCUGGCCAGCACUGUUGGGGGCAGGAUAUCUACUCUGUACAGGACUCAGAUAGUUCAUGAGUUACCUGAGACUCUUGGUGAUUUUUAAGUUUUUAAAAAAUGUAUAUGAAUGUUCUGCCUGCAUGUAUAUAUGUGCACCAUAUGCAUGCCUGG
rnacentral:lncRNA from 1 species